rfam:Tupaia chinensis contig64480, whole genome shotgun sequence.
UAAAUGGCUUUCUUAAAAGCUACAGAAAUGAUUUAAAGAAACACCU